rnacentral:rRNA from 1 species
UACGUAGGGGGCAAGCGUUGUCCGGAAUCAUUGGGCGUAAAGAGCGUGUAGGCGGCCCGGUAAGUCCGCUGUGAAAGUCCAGGGCUCAACCCCGGGAUGCCGGUGGAUACUGUCGGGCUCGAGUCCGGAAGAGGAGUGUGGACUUCCCGGUGUAGCGGUGAAAUGCGCAGAUAAUCGGGAAGAACACCCGUGGCGAAGGCGGCUCUCUGGGACGGUACUGACGCUGAGACGCGAAAGCGUGGGGAGCGAACAGG